rnacentral:tRNA from 1 species
GGGGUUGUGACUCAGAGGUAGAGUGCUUGCCUAGCAUGCAUGAGGCACUAGCACUGGGUUCCAUCCUCAGCACCACA